AUGUGAAAUCCCCGGGCUUAACCUGGGAACUGCAUUUGAAACUGGCAGGCUUGAGUCUUGUAGAGGGGGGUAGAAUUCCAGGUGUAGCGGUGAAAUGCGUAGAGAUCUGGAGGAAUACCGGUGGCGAAGGCGGCCCCCUGGACUAAGACUGACGCUCAGGUGCGAAAGCGUGGGGAGCAAACAGGAUUAGAUACCCUGGUAGUCCACGCCGUAAACGAUGUCGACUUGGAGGUUGUUCCCUUGAGGAGUGGCUUCCGGAGCUAACGCGUUAAGUCGACCGCCUGGGGAGUACGGCCGCAAGGUUAAAACUCAAAUGAAUUGACGGGGGCCCGCACAAGCGGUGGAGCAUGUGGUUUAAUUCGAUGCAACGCGAAGAACCUUACCUACUCUUGACAUCCACGGAAUUUGGCAGAGAUGCCUUAGUGCCUUCGGGAACCGUGAGACAGG
rnacentral:rRNA from 1 species